rnacentral:misc_RNA from 1 species
AAUAAUUUGUUUUCCAUUGUAUGUCAAUAGAAAGUUAUUUUAAAAAAGAAUAUAAUGAACAUGUGUAAUUAUGGGUUUUUUUUUUCCUCCUAUCAAAAAGAAAAUGAAAGGAAAAGAAAAGAAAAGAAAGGAAAGGAAAGGGCAAAUAUUUGCCAUCAAUUUCCCUGGAAACUUCAGUUGUUGAUUUUAUUGUUGCCAUUGGUAUUGCUGAUGGUAGUAGAUAUGCUGCCAUUGGCAUUGGGGGUGGUUGUGAGGUUGGCGUUAGUAUUAGUACUAUUAGUAAUGUUGCUGGGGUGAGCACCACCGCCAAUUAUGGAGGUAAUUGCAGCUGCCAGAGCUGCAGUGAAGUUGGGAUCAGCUGCAAUAGCAGCAGUUGCAGCAGUAACAUUGUCAGCCAAUGAAUUUUGCUGUCCCUGCUGCUGGUGGAUUGCUGCUGCUGCUGCUACUUGUGAUUGGUGGCCUAAUUUAUUUUUACCUUCCACGUCUUGAGACAUUUGUAGCCCAGAAAACUUUGAUUGAUUGUAAAAUGCUUGUCCAAAAAUCUGAGGCAGCAAUGCUGCUACUGCAGCUGGAGAAUUUGCAAAAUUUUGAGGUUGGUCUGGGAAUGGGACUUGGAAUUGACUUGGCUGUCUUUGGAAUUGUAAUGGGUUGGGGUUCUGGGUUAGGUCUAAGGUAACAGUAGGAAAUGGGGCUGACGCUGAUAUGGUUGCCAUGCUAGAGGAACAUGGUAGGAGAGUUCUUGUCAGGAAAUUUGGGUUCAUUAUUCCAUCAGCACUAGACAUGGACCCUGACAGUAACAUUCUUGCUGCUGAUGAAGUUGUUGAUGCCAUAGCCAUUGCAGCCGGAGGCAAAGGAUGGUUGUGAUUACCCUCAUAUGUCGUUAUGAGGAUCGUUUGAUCUUCUGCACAUCUUUGUACCUGUUUUCUAACUGGGCAACCAGCGGCCAUGGUGCACCUAUAAUAAGCUCGAGGACAUGGAUUUCCCUUAGCCAUCUUCUGUCCAUACUUUCUCCAUUGGCAUCCAUC